CCUACGGGUGGCAGCAGUGAGGAAUAUUGGUCAAUGGACGGAAGUCUGAACCAGCCAUGCCGCGUGCAGGAAGACGGCUCUAUGAGUUGUAAACUGCUUUUGUACAAGGGUAAACCUGAAUACGUGUAUUCAGCUGAAAGUACUGUACUAAUAAGGAUCGGCUAACUCCGUGCCAGCAGCCGCGGUAAUCCGGGGGAUCCAAGCGUUAUCCGGAUUUAUUCGGUUUAAAGGGUGCGUAGGCGGAUUGAUAAGUUAGAGGUGAAAUGUCCGAGCUUAACUCGGGAACUGCAUCUAAUACUGUUGGUCGAGAGAGUAGGUGCGGUAGGCGGAAUGUAUGGUGUAGCGGUGAAAUGCUUAGAGAUCAUACAGAACACCGAUUGCGAAGGCAGCUUACCAAUCUAUAUCUGACGUUGAGGCACGAAAGCGUGGGGAGCGAACAGGAUUAGAUACCCUUGUAGUC
rnacentral:rRNA from 1 species